rfam:Mustela putorius furo unplaced genomic scaffold scaffold00175, whole genome shotgun sequence.
CUACUCUGGUUUCUCUCCAGAUCGCAUAAAUAUUUCACCUUUUACUAAAGAUUUCCAUGGAGAGAAACAAUUCUGAGUCUUCAACCCAUUUUUUGAGAACUUGCUUAGGGAAAAAAAU